AUGAUUGAAGGGGGUGAGCUUCGUGUACGGCAUUCGAAGGAUGAAGAGGGUUUCAUGCACAGGAGGUCGGUGAUGGAGGUUGAAAAUAGUUUGAUGGCUGGAAGGGAGAAGGUUCACAAUUUGAAGUGUGAUGCAAACUGGACGGGUGGAUAUGUGUUGUCUGCAGAUGGCUUUGGUGCAGAAUUAGGUGACAACCUCUCUCAACUCUUCACCAUUUGCUUCUGUUUUUAUUGGAUUUGUGAUUUCAUUUUGGGCAAGCUUUUUGGACAGCAAAGGUAG